CAGCAGCCACGGUAAUACGUAGGGUGCGAGCGUUAAUCGGAAUUACUGGGCGUAAAGCGUGCGCAGGCGGUUGUGUAAGACAGGUGUGAAAUCCCCGGGCUUAACCUGGGAACUGCGCUUGUGACUGCACAGCUAGAGUAUGGCAGAGGGGGGUGGAAUUCCACGUGUAGCAGUGAAAUGCGUAGAGAUGUGGAGGAACACCGAUGGCGAAGGCAGCCCCCUGGGCCAAUACUGACGCUCGUGCACGAAAGCGUGGGGAGCAAACAGGAUUAGAUACCCGAGUAGUCCCUGUCUCUUAUAC
rnacentral:rRNA from 1 species